CUCUAAUCAGUGUGGAGGAAAAGCAAAGAAAAGAGAGAAAAGAGAUUCUAAGUUUUUGGCUGGGGCUGGGUUUGGACCCGCCACCUCUGGCAUAUAGGGCUGACGCACUAUUCCUUUGAGCCACAGGCGCCGCCCCAGGGACGAGGUCUUAUUUUGGCUCUGCUUUAGGCUGGUCUCGAACUCAUAAACUCAGGCCAUCCACCCGCCUAAGCCUCCCAGAGUGCUAGGAUUACAGGCGUGAGCCACCGCGACCAGCCUUUCUGAAAGUCAUUGACAAGAAAGACCAAGAUAGUGAGGAAUAUUUUAGUAUUUAAGCCCUGAAGUUGAAUGACAACAAAAAAGAGAAUAAUUUGUUUUAUUGCCUUUAGGAAAUAAAAUACGUGGUAUUAAAUGAAUGUCUAAGUGGAAUGAAGUACAGAUCAUUUAUCUACUAGAAUAAAAACCUUAAAAUACAUGAAACUACAGUAAAUAUAGGGGGAAGGAGGGGAAAAGGAAUAAAUACAACUUUGUGAUAGGGAAACAAGGCUAAAGAGAUAAUAAACAGAAAAUCAAAUUGAGAGGUGAUGAUACAGGAUGGUGAGAAUAGCUGGCCCGGCUUAAUUCACAUUAUUACGGUAGGUAGGAAAGCUGGUUAACAAUAGUCCAUCAAAUAUUUACUAUUUCAAUUUUUAGAAAGUACC